CGUGUAGGCGGUUUGGUCAGUCAGAUGUGAAAGCCCUGGGCUUAACCCAGGAAGUGCAUUUGAUACUGCCAUCCUUGAGUAUGGGAGAGGAGAGUGGAAUUCCCGGUGUAGAGGUGAAAUUCGUAGAUAUCGGGAGGAACACCCGUGGCGAAGGCGGCUCUCUGGACCAAUACUGACGCUGAGACGCGAAAGCGUGGGGAGCAAACA
rnacentral:rRNA from 1 species